GGAAACGUCAUCAACUGAACUGACACACAGCAAAAGUAACUUCUCUCGCUGUUGUUUUCGCUGCUUUCAGAAAUGGGUUUGUGUCUUCGAAAAAGUCCGUUAGCAUCUCAACUGUUUUCAGAAGAGAAGAUCAUCAUCAUGCUGAUGGCCUGCUGCACCCUGUCCAAGAAAAUCUCCACGGCUAUGAACUCGACUAAUGAGAUAUAAUCGUUUGGCCCUGUGAUUCUUCAGGACAAGAUCUUGAUGCCAUCCACACUCAGUAGAUGAAGAAGCUCCUGCGUCCAUUUGGGCUGAAGGUCGAGACAGAACCAAACCAAAGCUGGACUGUAACCUACUGGCCAUAUGACAGACUUCACAAUGACACCUACUGGCAUGGAUGCGGCAUCACAUGUUUUUCAACAAAACCUUUUUCACCUAGAAUUUAAAGUGUGCAUUAUUCAUCCCCCAUGAGGAGACUCCAUGUCUUCAUCUCUUGUGAGUGGAUAUCAUUUAAAACAUUCUUAAAAGAACGGCUCAUUUCUUCUGAAUUUAUAGUAUUUAUUGUUCUUGUCAAGUAAUAUUGCUGUAAUCCUGUUAAUGUAUGUACAGUAUAAAUUGCAAACAUGCUUGUGUUGGACACGUGUUCACGGAUUACAGACAUUUUAGAGGAGGUAGAUGCUGUGUAUUUAAAGGUGCUCUAAGUCAUGUUUAUUUGUACAAUGUCAUUUUUGUAUAUACAUCAUUAUUACACUGGAACAAAUUACUAUUUCUUUAUUUGUAAAUUAGCAACU